GGGGGGGUGGGGCGGAGACAGGGGCAGGUUCAGUCCCCAGGGGCCAGAGGCAGGGCUUACCUAAGGGGGCACAGCUCUGGGGUAAACAGGGCCCGGAGAGGGUGGGCCUCCCGAGUAAGAUCCAGACUUCUGCCCUGCAGGACCGGAAGCCCCCCCCUCAAGUGCAAGGCUCCCACCCUCCUGGGCUGAGAGCCCUGUGGAUGAGGAACCAGACCUUCCCCUCCCACACGCAAACACACACACACACACACACACACACACACACACACACACACACACACACCUCAAGUGCAGAGAAAAGAGGUGGGGUCCCUCUGGCCAAGCCCAGUCAGGGAUGGAGUGAGUUGGAGAUUACAGGUCAGGUGUCCCAGGGCCUAGACCAGUCAUGCAGAAAGCAGAACCCGCCCUCUCCCAGAGGACAGGGCGUUUGGGCCCUGGCAAGCUCUGGUUCCUGUCUCCACCACGUGUGGCCCCCAGGACCGGUGACCCGGGGCGGUCCAGCAUGCCUGACAGAGGCCCUCGUGUGUGCAGGGUAAGGGGCAGCCCAGGGCAGGUGGCAUCUAUGCAAGACAACAUCUAUGCGUCCCCCUGGCGCCCAGGACACGGGACCUGACCCAACCGGAAACAGCUUCCCCUCGGGCGCCAAGGGCAGCUGAGUGAGGAUGCAGGCAGAAUUUGUGGCAGUGGUCCUGGGGGGAUGCUCCCAGGAGAAGGGGAUCAGCCGUGGCCUCCUUCUCCCCUUCCUGAAGCCCAUUCCAGCGUCUGCUCUCCCCCUUCUCAGGAUGGCAUAAGCAGGACGGAGGAUACCCCCCCCAGCUGCUGGGGCCCCAGAGGGAGCCUGCGUCUCUCGGCUCCGGCAGCCGGAAUGAAGGCUGCGCUAGCUGUUACUCAGAUCUGCAGUCUGUGCCAGGAGCUGGGCCUGAAGGAAGGAAGGUCCUUGCAGGUCUCGGCGGACUGUUCUCAAAAGGCAGCCUGUGUUACUAAGCGCGUCAGGCAGAAAACCGAAUUUACGGCAGUUUUAAUGGCAAGAAAAUGGACCCCCUCCCCCAUAACAUUAAACUUGUGCUAAGUGUUAAAAAUGCUUGGAAUAGCUUACACAUGAUUCAGCUUUUUCUUCUUCGGCCAACGCCUAAAAGAUGAGUCAGAUUAUUUCUUGGGUGAAUUCAGGCUUUCGGUGCCUGCACAGUUUCUGGUUUUGUUUCUGAAACAUGCAUAAAAUUGUUUAACCCUUCAUACCAUCCCCCUUCCCACCUUUACACAAGGAAAACAAAACAAACAAAAGACGUGUGUCAAUUGUCCUUGUUUCAAUUGUCCUUGUUUCCCGCCCCGAC
rnacentral:lncRNA from 1 species